GUGUUCACUUCAGCAGCACAUACACUAAAAAUUCAAACUAUACAGAAAUUAGCAUGGCCCCUGUGCAAGGAUGACACACAAAUUCAUUAAGGUUCUAUAUGUUA
rnacentral:snRNA from 1 species